rnacentral:rRNA from 1 species
CACGGGGGGAGCAAGCGUUGUUCGGAAUCACUGGGCGUAAAGGGCGUGUAGGCGGUCAAGUAAGUGGAAUGUGAAAGCCCCCGGCUUACCCGGGGAUCUGCAUCCCAAACUGCUUGGCUUGAGUACGGGAGAGGAUAGGGGAAUUCCUGGUGUAGCGGUGAAAUGCGUAGAUAUCAGGAGGAACACCGGUGGCGAAGGCGCCUGUCUGGCCCGAUACUGACGCUGAGGCGCGAAAGCUAGGGGAGCAAACGGG